rnacentral:rRNA from 1 species
UGCCAGCCGCCGCGGUAAUACGUAGGGACCAAGCGUUGUCCGGAAUUAUUGGGCGUAAAGAGCUCGUAGGCGGUUCGGUAAGUCGGGUGUGAAAAUCCAGGGCUCAACCCUGGGACGCCACCCGAUACUGCUGUGACUAGAGUCCGGUAGAGGAGCGUGGAAUUUCUGGUGUAGCGGUGAAAUGCGCAGAUAUCAGAAGGAACACCGAUGGCGAAGGCAUCUCUCUGGACCGAUACUGACGCUGAGGUACGAAAGUGUGGGGAGCAAACAGGAUUAGAUA